rnacentral:rRNA from 1 species
ACGCAAGACAUACAUCAAGUGUUCCCAAAUCCUUAAAGACUCAAUCCGAUAAGAUAACUUCAAAGGGGAAACUCAGUUCAUUACAAAAGAGUAGAGGGGGGAGAAAACAUCAUAAGAUCCAACUAUAAUAGCAAAGCUCGCGAUACAUCAAGAUUGUAUCACCUCAAGAACACGAGAGAGAGAGAGAGAGAGACAGAUCAAAGACAUAGCUACUGGUACAUACCCUCAGCCCCGAGGGAGAACUACUCCCUCCUUGUCAUGGAGAGCACCAGGAUGAUGAAGAUGGCCACCGGAGAGGGAUUCCCCCUCCGGCAGGGUGCCAGAACAGGUCUAGAUUGGCUUUCGGUGGCUACAGAGUCUUCUGGCGGCGGAACUCCUGAUCUAUUGUGCUCCCGGAUGUUUUUAGGGUAUAUGGAGAUAUAUAGGAGGAAGAAGUACGUCAGGGGGGCCACGAGGGUGGAGGGCGCGCCCUAGGGGGGUGGGCACGCCCCCCUACCUCGUGGCCUCCUUGAAGCUUCCCUUACAUGCACUUCAAGUCUUCUGGGCUUCUUUCCUUCCAAAAAUGAGUUCCGUGAAGUUUCAGGUCAAUUGGACUCCGUUUGAUUUUCCUUUUCUUCGAAACCCUAAAACAAGGUAAAACAGAAACUGGCACUAGGCUCUGGGUUAAUAGGUUAGUCCCAAAAAUGAUAUAAAAGUGUAUAAUAAAGCCCAUAAACAUCCAAAACAGUAGAUAAUAUAGCAUGGAGCAAUCAAAAAUUAUAGAUACAUUGAAGACGUAUCAAAGACCACCACUCAAGUCAAAAAUAUCGUGACCAGCCCGGUACGUGAAGAUUGUCAGCGCAAAAAUUCCUAUUUUGGUUGUGGGAAAAUUGGACAUUAUGCCAGACAGUGCCCCAAGAAUGGCAAGUCGAUGGCUCCAUUCCGUCUGCAAGUCAACUAUCUGGAGCCAUAUCCUGGCCCGAGUGCCAUCCAAGGGCAAAUCCACCAUAUCUCCGCCGAUGAAGUCCAAGAAGACCCGGAAGUCGUUAUUGGUAUGUUCCCUAGUAAUAACAUACCUGCUGAGGGAGUCCUGGGUAAGGGGGUGUCCGGAUAGCCGGACUAUAACCUUUGGCCGGACUCUUGGACUAUGAAGAUACAAGAUUGAAGACUUCGUCACGUGUUCGGAUGGGACUUUCCUCUGCGUGGAAGGCAAGCUUGGCAAUACGGAUAUGUAGAUCUCCUCCCAUUGUAACCGACUCUGUGUAACCUUAGCCCUCUCCGGUGUCUAUAUAAACCAAAGGGUUUUAGUCCAUAGGACGAACAACAAUCAUACCAUAAGCUAGCUUCUAGGGUUUAGCCUCUUUGAUCUCGUGGUAGAUCUACUCUUGUACUACCCAUAUCAUCAAUAUUAAUCAAGUAGGAGUAGGGUUUUACCUCCAUUGAGAGGGCACGAACCUGGGUAAAAACAUUGUGUCCCUUGUCUCCUGUUACCAUCCGCCUAGACACACAGUUCGGGAUCCCCUACCCGAGAUCCGCCGGUUUUGACACCGACAUUGGUGCUUUCAUUGAGAGUUUUGCUGUGUCGUCGCCAUCAGAAAGGAUGCCUCAUCCCAUCUUUAAAGACGACACUGUUGCUAAGGGAGCUUUGGCUGUCGGCCAAACUCUCCGGCUAGGUGGUUUUCUUAUGACCGCCUGUUCGGCCGCUACGCCAAUGAUGACUUCUCGGGUCAUCAAAAGCAAUCUUCACGUCAACUCGGAACUCGCCGAGCAGUUAGAUCCAAUGGAGCUCUCUUCCCUAAACGAGCUCUUGGAUCGCAUCGCCGCCCUGGGAGUCGCUACAGACUACGAUCAGAUUGGGCCUAAACCCGAUCUGAGAGAGAUCAACUCUCCCCAGGUCACCCAUCACGUUGCAGUGGUGGAGGAACAAUGCGGCGACCCUUCAUCUAUCUUAAGGACUAGCUAUGUCCGCAUUCCUGAUCCCUCCAAGCCGGAUACCCGCGGAGGGGAGGAUGUCACUCAAGACCUGAACCUAGAGUCAGGCAGUGGGCUAGAUUCAGUGGAAAACAUCUAA